AGAAUUCAAAAUUUUGAAUCUUUGCAUGCUUACCGGUUCAAUUUGACUUGGCGCGCCUAAUAUCUCGACUCUUCCCCAUUUUAAACUGAAAUCAGACGAUCUCAUGUUUCCAUUCCACGAAUCCUCUCUAUAAAAUCGUGCCACACCACCAUUCCCUAACGCCAUUGUCUCUCACUUUUUCCAUUUUUGACGUUCUCUUUGAAAACCCUAGAUUCAUAAUGUACACCCAAACAUACCAACAAUCUCCAUCAACGUCUGAAGCUCUAACAUCACUGACUGCCUUGUAGAGUCGGAUACGACCACAAAUCGCUGAUGUCCAGUUUUUACCCUGCAGGUAAGCUUUUAAAUAAGCACCAUAAUCCUUUCUUCUUCCUCUUCUUCGACCACUGAUCUAGAUCUUUUGUAUAUUUUCACAAACCAACCCUAAAUCUGUUCUCUUCGACCCCUUCUCACUUCUGUACACCCACACCAUGUACUCCUCUCACAAUCGACACCUAAUCUUUACUCCAUCCGUCUCUUUCGCUCACAAUCCGCCGCACAGCCUAAAUGCCACCACUAUGACCAUCUUCACUCUACCUCUCUGUCAUUGUAAGCCCUAUAUGUUAUUGUCUUCCUCGCAAACCUUAGACGCCACUAUUGGACCACCUCAAUAUCAUCUUCCUCUAUGUCUCGGUCUACAGAAACAAGUGACAUUUUUCAUGCUUCUUCAUUACUUAAUAUAGAUCGAGUUAGGGUUCUUAUUUUUUUCGGUUUCUUUGAACUAAAUCUUCAUAAAUGGUUAGGAGUAAUUUACUUUUUAUAAUUUUGUGAUGAAAACUUCAGCUAUGUUUGACUUUCAGGUUGCUGUUAUGUUGUUCCAGAUACUAAUUUUGAUAUAAAUGCCGGUGUAUUUUAGUCCUCACCACCAAGUUAUGUCUAUCUUUUUCCAUUUUGUAAUCACAGACUCACACACUUUAGGAUUUUAAUAUCAAUGGUUGCAUGUUGAUCCUGAACCAUUUUCCUUGAAAAAAGUUUUCUAAUUGGGGUUUUUAUCUCAUUUUUAGGGAUGUGGAAAAAACCAAUGUAAAGGUUGUUAAUGGAAAUGACAGUGGUUCAGGAAGUUGAAAAGGGACUACUAUGAUAUGGGAUUCUUCUUCAGGUGUGAAACAACAAAGAUAACAAUAUUCAAUUUCACAAUGACCUUCCACUAUAACAAAAUUACAUUGUAUUGUGAUCCCAACUAAAUAUUGGUGCUCUAAUGUUAUUGUUCUUUUUAGGCUUAAAAGGGAAUAGUUUAUAUUAAUAACCCGAGUUGUAGCAAACAUGUUGUUGGAGACAAGGCUGCCAAAGAGAAGUCAAAGGGGUUGGAGGUGCAACUCACUUAAUUCAUAGGGAGGGUACUCAUGGUUGCCUUUAGUAGUCAAAUAUUUUGUAGUCUUUUUAAAAAAAAAAUUGUAAAGGUUAGCUCGUUAGCUUUUGUUUGUUCUAUUUACAAUAUGUUAAGUAAGUUUUGUAAUAUGUUUACGCUCUCAAAUGUCGUAAAGUUUUUCCAUAUUUUGCAUGCUUUUUACCUUCAAAUGAUGUAAAUAUGAUAUUGGUUAGUCUUUGUUGUGAAUGUUCAUGUGAGUUCAAUUGAUGCCAUGAUCUUGGCAUUAU
rnacentral:lncRNA from 1 species